GGGGAUUUAGCUCAGCGGUAGAGCGCUUGCCUAGAGAGCACAAGGCCCUGGGUUCCGUCCCCAGCUCCA
rnacentral:tRNA from 1 species